rnacentral:tRNA from 1 species
GGGGUUGUGGCUCAGAGGUAGAGUGCUCACCUACCAUCUGUGAGGAACUAGGUUCAAUCCUCAGCACCA